rnacentral:rRNA from 1 species
GACGAACGCUGGCGGCGUGCUUAACACAUGCAAGUCGAACGGUGAAGCGCCUUCCUUUUUGGUGGGUGUGGGGGAGUGGCGAACGGGUGAGUAACACGUUAGUAACCUGCCCCCUUCUUCUGGAUAACCGCAUGAAAGUGUGGCUAAUACGGGAUAUGCUGGGUCUGUCGCAUGAUGGGUCUGUGGAAGAUUUUGUUUCGGUGUGGGAUGGGCUCGCGGCCUAUCAGCUUGUUGGUGGGGUGAUGGCCUACCAAGGCGGUGGCGGGUAGCCGGCCUGAGAGGGUGGACGGACACACAGGGAGUGAGACACGGCACUGACUCGUGAGGGAGGAGGCGGUGAUGAAUGUUGAUGAGCGGGAGCAAGACUGAUGCAGCGAGGCCGCGUGAGGGAUGGAGGCGUUCGGGUUGUGACUCUCUUUGGGAAGUGAAGGAGGCCUGCCUAGUUUGUGGGUGGGUUGAGGGUAGCUGGAUAAGAAGCGCCGGCUAAUUACGU